rnacentral:rRNA from 1 species
GGUCAGGGAUGAGCUCGCGGCCUAUCAGCUUGUUGGUGAGGUAAUGGCUCACCAAGGCAUCGACGGGUAGCCGGCCUGAGAGGGUGACCGGCCACACUGGGACUGAGACACGGCCCAGACUCCUACGGGAGGCAGCAGUGGGGAAUAUUGCACAAUGGGCGCAAGCCUGAUGCAGCAACGCCGCGUGAGGGAUGACGGCCUUCGGGUUGUAAACCUCUUUUAGCAGGGAAGAAGCGAAAGUGACGGUACCUGCAGAAAAAGCGCCGGCUAACUACGUGCCAGCAGCCGCGGUAAUACGUAGGGCGCAAGCGUUAUCCGGAAUUAUUGGGCGUAAAGAGCUCGUAGGCGGUUUGUCGCGUCUGCUGUGAAAUCCCGAGGCUCAACUUCGGGUCUGCAGUGGGUACGGGCAGACUAGAGUGCGGUAGGGGAGAUUGGAAUUCCUGGUGUAGCGGUGGAAUGCGCAGAUAUCAGGAGGAACACCGAUGGCGAAGGCAGAUCUCUGGGCCGUAACUGACGCUGAGGAGCGAAAGGGUGGGGAGCAAACAGGCUUAGAUACCCUGGUAGUCCACCCCGUAAACGUUGGGAACUAGUUGUGGGGUCCAUUCC